rnacentral:lncRNA from 1 species
GCAAUAGUGGGCAUCAUCCGGUCAUUUCCUAUGGCUGGAGGAUGAAUGAACCCCUAGAGGAUAAUACAAAGAUUAAUCUCUUCAGUUCUCCUGCAUGCUGUCCACCUUUACCUAUGAUGGAAUCCAAGAGAAAAAAAAUGUCUACCAACUCUUCUUCAACAUCAACAUUUUCCCUGCUUUGAUUGUUUCUCCAUGAGCAACUGUCUCUCUGAUUCUAUUUCCGCCACCUGUUCUACUCACCAUCUGGACCAAUAUAAUCCAUUCCAUCACCUUCCUGGACCAAUGUCUUUUUCCUAAACUGAAUGCUCCUCAACUUUUCUUCACCCACAUUUAGUAGACAAGUUGGAAAAGAGAUGAUGGGAAUGAAACUUGAUUGGAAGGUUAGAAAAAAGACUAAUGAGUGAGGUGUAUAAAAGACUUCUCUAUCUUUUCAAGUUCUGAUCCCCAGAUGUGAAGAAGUUUGGGGAGGAAAAUUUUCUUAUUCAUACAAUAGAAUCCCCCAAGAAAAACAAUAAAACAAGUAAAUAUCUGAUAGGAUUUAUUUNU